GAUCUUCUCCUUCAUGGGAGAUGAUUGAAAGAUGGUUUCGGCUAUCACUUACAGAUGGGCCCGCGGUGCAUUAGCUAGUUGGUGAGGUAACGGCUCACCAAGGCAACGAUGCAUAGCCGACCUGAGAGGGUGAUCGGCCACACUGGGACUGAGACACGGCCCAGACUCCUACGGGAGGCAGCAGUAGGGAAUCUUCCGCAAUGGACGAAAGUCUGACGGAGCAACGCCGCGUGAGUGAUGAAGGCUUUCGGGUCGUAAAACUCUGUUGUUAGGGAAGAACAAGUACAAGAGUAACUGCUUGUACCUUGACGGUACCUAACCAGAAAGCCACGGCUAACUACGUGCCAGCAGCCGCGGUAAUACGUAGGUGGCAAGCGUUAUCCGGAAUUAUUGGGCGUAAAGCGCGCGCAGGCGGUUUCUUAAGUCUGAUGUGAAAGCCCACGGCUCAACCGUGGAGGGUCAUUGGAAACUGGGGAACUUGAGUGCAGAAGAGAAAAGCGGAAUUCCACGUGUAGCGGUGAAAUGCGUAGAGAUGUGGAGGAACACCAGUGGCGAACGCGGCUUUUUGGUCUGUAACUGACGCU
rnacentral:rRNA from 2 species